rnacentral:rRNA from 1 species
GAUGAACGCUAGCUACAGGCUUAACACAUGCAAGUCGAGGGGUAACGAGAGGAAAGCUUGCUUUCCUUGUCGACGACCGGCGCACGGGUGAGUAACGCGUAUCCAACCUGCCCCCAACUAGGGAAUAACCUUGCGAAAGUAAGACUAAUACCCUAUAAUUUCCUCAGAUGUCAUCUGACGAGGAAUAAAGAUUUAUCGGUUGGGGAUGGGGGUGCGUCUGAUUAGCUUGUUGGCGGGGUAACGGCCCACCAAGGCAACGAUCAGUAGGGGUUCUGAGAGGAAGGUCCCCCACAUUGGAACUGAGACACGGUCCAAACUCCUACGGGAGACAGCUGUGAGGAAUAUUGGUCAAUGGGCGGAAGCCUGAACCAGCCAAGUAGCGUGCAGGAUGACGGCCCUAUGGGUUGUAAACUGCUUUUAUACAGGAAUAAAGUUAGCCACGUGUGGUUAUUUGUAGGUACUGUAUGAAUAAGGACCGGCUAAUUCCGUGCCAGCAGCCGCCGCCG